AUUGAACGCUGGCGGCAUGCCUUACACAUGCAAGUCGAACGGCAGCACGGGUGCUUGCACCUGGUGGCGAGUGGCGAACGGGUGAGUAAUACAUCGGAACAUGUCCUGUAGUGGGGGAUAGCCCGGCGAAAGCCGGAUUAAUACCGCAUACGAUCUACGGAUGAAAGCGGGGGACCUUCGGGCCUCGCGCUAUAGGGUUGGCCGAUGGCUGAUUAGCUAGUUGGUGGGGUAAAGGCCUACCAAGGCGACGAUCAGUAGCUGGUCUGAGAGGACGACCAGCCACACUGGGACUGAGACACGGCCAAGAGUCCUACGGGAGGCAGCAGUGGGGAAUUUUGGACAAUGGGCGAAAGCCUGAUCCAGCAAUGCCGCGUGUGUGAAGAAGGCCUUCGGGUUGUAAAGCACUUUUGUCCGGAAAGAAAUCCUUGGCCCUAAUACGGUCGGGGGAUGACGGUACCGGAAGAAUAAGCACCGGCUAACUACGUG
rnacentral:rRNA from 1 species